rnacentral:snoRNA from 1 species
AAGCAACACUCUGUGGCAGAUAUCCGGUUGCCUGUCUCAAUUUAAGCUUGCUAUAAUAAAAAAAAAAGUCUAACCUAUUCCAGUGGUCUCUACUAAAUGAGGUCAUGUGUUAUAUAGACUCUAACAAC